rnacentral:ncRNA from 1 species
UUUCAGGGCAGGGUGAAAUUCCCGACCGGCGGUAAAGUCCGCGAGCCUUUUGGCUGAUCCGAUGAAACUACGGAACCGACAGUAUAGUCUGGAUGAAAGAAGU